GACGAACCGUGCGAACGUUAUUCGGAAUCACUGGGCUUAAAGGGCGCGUAGGCGGGAUGGCAAGUCGGUCGUGAAAUCCCUCGGCUCAACUGAGGUACGUCGAUCGAUACUGCCGUUCUUGAGGGUUGCAGAGGAGACUGGAAUUCCCGGUGUAGCGGUGAAAUGCGUAGAGAUCGGGAAGAACAUCGGUGGCGAAGGCGCUCUACUGGACCACAACUGACACUCAGGGACGAAAGCUAGGGGAGCGAAUGGG
rnacentral:rRNA from 1 species